rnacentral:rRNA from 1 species
UACGUAGGGUGCGAGCGUUAAUCGGAAUUACUGGGCGUAAAGCGUGCGCAGGCGGUUCUGAAAGUCAGCUGUGAAAGCCCCGGGCUUAACCUGGGAAUUGCGGUUGAAACUACAGGGCUAGAAUCUGGCAGAGGGGGGUGGGAUUCCACGUGUAGCAGUGAAAUGCGUAGAGAUGUGGAGGAACACCGAUGGCGAAGGCAGCCCCCUGGGCUGAGAUUGACGCUCAGGCACGAAAGCGUGGGGAGCAAACAGG